UUCCUGAGCCUGGCAGGGGAGAUACCAUGAUCACGAAGGUGGUUUUCCCAGGGCGAGGCUUAUCCAUUGCACUCCGGAUGUGCUGACCCCUGCGAUUUCCCCAAAUGUGGGAAACUCGACUGCAUAAUUUGUGGUAGUGGGGGACUGCGUUCGCACUUUCCCCUG
ensembl:snRNA U1 U1 spliceosomal RNA